rnacentral:rRNA from 1 species
CAAUGGCGUGAACAAAGGGAUGCGAAGUGGCGACAUGGAGCGAAUCCCAAAAACAACGCCCCAGUUCGGAUUGUAGUCUGCAACCCGACUACAUGAAGCCGGAAUCGCUAGUAAUCGCGGGUCAGCAUACCGCGGUGAAUACGUUCCCGGGCCUUGUACACACCGCCCGUCACACCACGAAAGUUGGUAACACCCGAAGCCGGUGGCCUAACCCUUAGGGGAGGGAGCUGUCGAAGGUGGGACUGAUGAUUGGGGUGAAGUCGUAACAAGGUACC